rnacentral:rRNA from 1 species
UACAGAGGGUGCGAGCGUUAAUCGGAGUUACUGGGCGUAAAGGGUGCGUAGGCGGCGCGGUAAGUCGGGUGUGAAAUCUCGGAGCUUAACUCCGAAACUGCAUUCGAUACUGCCCGUGCUUGAGGACUGGAGAGGAGACUGGAAUUUACGGUGUAGCGGUGAAAUGCGUAGAUAUCGUAAGGAAGACCAGUGGCGAAGGCGGGUCUCUGGACAGUUCCUGACGCUGAGGCACGAAGGUCAGGGGAGCAAACGGG